CCAUAGAGAAAAGGAAAAAACGAAUUAAAGUAGAAAAUAAAAGCUGAUUGCAACAGCAAAUAUUGAAACUAUUGGGAGACCAUAAACAGAUUCGCUCCGUUAAUUUUUGCAAAUUUCAUAAGUUAAACACUCUUAAUCCAUUCAUUUUCCAGCUGGCUUCCAACAAAUCGCUUGCAUUAAAUUUGUAUUAACUUUUUUUUGUAGUACGUGGUCGCUUCUCAGUGAGGUAAAACUUGUCUAGCGACUAUUUUCGACCCACUGAAACUUAUACCGCUCUUGGCACGUCAGUGCGUAACUUGCCGGGUUCGGAUUUAAAGCUUAAUGGAAAAUGUACGUAUAGUUUCCGCGAUUGAUUGUGCACUUUAAACAAGUAAAGUUUGCUUGACUUAUUUUAUAUCAAACCUAACUAGAAACGCCUUAUUACUUCGCAACAAAAAUACUGCCGAUAUAAUGGCUUCUAUAGAGGAGCGUUUUCAAGCCGCCGUCAAUGUGAUCAAAGGGUUGCCUAAAAAUGGCCCAUAUCAACCUAGCACCGCCAUGAUGCUCAAAUUUUACGGUUACUAUAAGCAAGCAACAGAAGGUCCGUGUCAUCAAAAGCGUCCUGGUUUUUGGGAUGUUGUUGGCAAAGCGAAAUGGGAUGCCUGGAAUGAUAAUCGACACUUAGAGAAACAUCAAGCAAUGGAACGUUACGUCAAUAAUUUGCGUGAAAUAAUUGAAACGAUGUCAUUUACCGAAAACGUACAAAACUUUGUUGGUAGUAUUAGUGGCUUGGACAAUAUAAAUUUAGAGGAACUGGAUAAGGUUGCACCGGGUAUGCGGGAACUUGCAGAAUCGCACCCGAAUUCUCCAUUCAAUUCGAGAACGAAUAGUCCACAACAUGGUGUGAGUUUGAAUGGUAGCAGUGGUGAAGAAGAUGAGCUUCCCACUAACUCUCCGAUAAACGGUUCCGUCUCACUCCAUAAUCAUCUCACUGAUAAUAAUUUAACAAAUGGCACAGCUGAACUCGAUGGCAUUAACGCCCCACAAACAAAUUCUAUAGUAUCUGCAAUACCAGAAAUACCUGUGACACACUCCACCUAUGCUAUGUCUAACGGCACUGUGGAUCAGUCUGAUGAUGAAUAUGGUGAUCCGGUGAAUAUGAAUAUAGAUAUUACUGAAGCAAUGCAGCAUAAUUCUGAAAUGCUUAAGCAAAUUCAAGCCACAGUGCUGCGCAUGAAUGCAGAUUUAGUAGCAGUAAAUCAACGCAUGAAUAGCUUGGAAAAGUUGUUGAAUGAUAUGCGUACAACUGCAGCGCAGAAAGCUACAAACCAAAACAGAGCCCGUGGAUACCCGAAAUGGUGGCCGUUUGCUGAUAUUUCACCGCUUUGGUUUACGUUACUAGUGUUAUGGCCUUUCGUGAUUAGAAGGUUAUCACGAGCAGUGACCGCACCACGCCGGAAGUAAAAGCAUGCGAAAUCGCAAGGUAGAAGAUGUCACAGUAGAAAUAUUACAAAUGUACAUUGACGUUACUGGAUGAAGGUUAACAUCUGAUACUUUCACAGCUUUACUUUAUUUACUUUUACUUUUGCGCAAAAUAAACUACAGAAUAAAUACUUUAUAUGCGAAUUUAAAUAUGCGCAAAUAACAUAAGUAAUAAGAAAGUGAAACAGCGGUAUAUAAAACUGGGAUCAGGUUUUGUGAUGCAUUGUAAUGUAAAAUUUAUUUUUACAAGUAUAUGUUUAUAUUUUGUAUUUUUGCAGCUUAUUCUAUUGUUUUUUUAUGUAGAUCCAUAUGUACCUUUAUUCAACAUUCCCUAGUGAAAUAGGUAGUGCUCAAAACUAUCGAAAAUAAUCUUUAAUAUAAGCAUACUGAAAAUGUAA